AACCGCACAGGAUAAUAAUCUUCUCGUGCGGUCGAGUUAAGUGGACCGCACGGGAUAAACGAUUAUCCCGUGCGGUC
rnacentral:pre_miRNA from 19 species